rnacentral:rRNA from 2 species
GAGUUUGAUCCUGGCUCAGAUUGAACGCUGGCGGCAUGCCUUACACAUGCAAGUCGAACGGCAGCACGGGGGCAACCCUGGUGGCGAGUGGCGAACGGGUGAGUAAUACAUCGGAACGUGCCCAGUAGUGGGGGAUAGCCCGGCGAAAGCCGGAUUAAUACCGCAUACGACCUACGGGUGAAAGCGGGGGAUCGCAAGACCUCGCGCUAUUGGAGCGGCCGAUGGCAGAUUAGCUUGUUGGUGGGGUAAAGGCCCACCAAGGCGACGAUCUGUAGCUGGUCUGAGAGGACGACCAGCCACACUGGGACUGAGACACGGCCCAGACUCCUACGGGAGGCAGCAGUGGGGAAUUUUGGACAAUGGGGGCAACCCUGAUCCAGCCAUGCCGCGUGUGUGAAGAAGGCCUUCGGUUG